rnacentral:rRNA from 1 species
UGCCAGCCGCCGCGGUAAUACGGAGGGUGCAAGCGUUGUUCGGAAUUACUGGGCGUAAAGCGCGUGUAGGCGGCUAGGUAAGUCGGAUGUGAAAUCCCGGAGCUCAACUCCGGAACUGCAUCCGAAACUGCUUAGCUAGAGUCUCGGAGAGGAAGGCAGAAUUCCCGGUGUAGGGGUGAAAUCCGUAGAUAUCGGGAGGAAUACCAGUGGCGAAGGCGGCCUUCUGGACGAUGACUGACGCUCAGACGCGAAAGCGUGGGUAGCAAACAGGAUUAGAUA